AGCUCCAAUAGCGUAUAUUAAAGUUGCUGCAGUUAAAAAGCUCGUAGUUGCAUUUCCGAGGCAAGGGAUUAGUCCGACCUUUGGUGGGUAUUUAAUCCUCUUGCCUCGUCCUUGAGUGGUGCUUCUUGGUAUUAAGUUAUCGAGGAGAUAGCCGCUCAUCGUUUACUGUGAGAAAAUUAGAGUGUUCAAAGCAGGCUUAUGCCGUUGAAUAUAUUAGCAUGGAAUAAUAAGAUAGGACCUCGGUACUAUUUGGGUGGUUUGAGAACCAAGGUAAUGAUGAAUAGGGACAGUUGGGGGUAUUCGUAUUCAGUUGUCAGAGGUGAAAUUCUUAGAUUUACGGAAGACGAACUACUGCGAAAGCAUUUACCAAGGAUGUUUUCA
rnacentral:rRNA from 1 species